AACAAUCUAAAGCUAAGAGGGGUCGCUGACUCUGUGCCCAAGGCCGAGCUCCCACAUUAUGCCAGGCGGUUGCUGACCGGUCUCCUAACCCCGAAAGCGGGCAAAUCCAUAAUAUUGGACAACAUCUUCCGUAUACCACGGCCAGCUACAGCACCACCAGCUGCCACAGGGGACAUAAUCCUCCGAUUUCAAAGCGCGAGGGACAAGAGUGCCGUUCUAGAAGCCACCAAGGGCCUAACAACCUAUACUUUUGAGGACAUGACUCUGUCGUUUUAUGCAGAUCUCUCAAGUGGAACGCUGAACUGGAGAAGAUCCCUCAAACAGCUUACAUCCUUCUUGAGGCAGAAACAACUCAGGUACUGCUGGGGCCCAGGCCGCGCCCUACAC